CUUCUAUAGUGUGCCACAUCAGAAGCACUUUGACCACUAUAUCCGCUUCUGUUUUGUGAAGGACUAAUCUGUGCUGGCGCAGGAUGAAGCCACGCUCCAGGCCAUGGACGAGAAGCUGCGGAAGUGGAAGGUGGAACUCUAGCCCUGAAGUCACGCCUUGGCCCUGACAUCCCCACAUGCCCGCAGAGAUCCUCUUUGAGUGUCUGUCUUUGUCCAGGUUUCAGACAUUUCUAGGUUGGGGAAGAUGCUAUUGGGAAACCUCUUCUCCGUGACACAGAAUGUUCUGGGUGGGAGCCGCCCUUCUUCAUCUUAGAGAACCAAGUGCCUCCUGUCUGAAAGGUGAGGGUGGCCUGACCUGGGCCUCUCCCUGCCCCUCCAUAGGUGGGUUUGUAGGGUCUUGUGUUGCUUCUGGUCUCUCCAGGCUUGGCUGAGACGGACGGUAGACUUCCACCAUGUACCGAUCACAUCCCA
rnacentral:lncRNA from 1 species